rnacentral:tRNA from 1 species
GCCCCCGUAGCCCAAAGGAAGAGGCACACCCCCUAAAAGGGUCCUAGGUGUCGGUUCGAGCCCGACCGGGGGUA